GGCUUAGGGCUUCAGAGAUUUCAAGGGAAGAAAAAAGUAAGAAAAUCCUUUCAUUAAACAAAACGGCUACACGUCAGAACAUUUAAGCCAGAUUUUCAAAAGAAAAAAAGAAUACCCAACUCAGAGUUUUGUAAGAAACAAUCAGGUAAAAUACGUUAAAAGUAUUUGUUGUUGUGAUGGACACACAUGUAAAUAAUGAUUAGCUGCUGCUCCUGCUGCUGUUAUCAAGGUCACAAUUACCUUCACCUAGCUAUGUGGUACUGGCCAAGGACUAAACACGUAAAUAUCAGAAAAUAAAGAGUGCCCUCAAACAAGCCUGAGAGUAAGAAUCUGUAAAUGCUAAAGGUGGCAUUCUGAAUCAGUGGGAAAAAGGUAGAGAUUUAAUAAACAGCUGGUGUGCUCCAUCAUCUGACGAAGAAAAGAACUGGAGUCUUAUCUCACAACAUAGAUAAAUUUCAGAGUAAAAAGCUAGAUUAUUUGCAAUAU
rnacentral:lncRNA from 1 species